rnacentral:rRNA from 1 species
AUUGAACGCUGGCGGAAUGCUUUCCACAUGCAAGUCGAACGGCAGCACGGACUUCGGUCUGGUGGCGAGUGGCGAACGGGUGAGUAAUGUAUCGGAACGUGCCCAGUCGUGGGGGAUCACGUAGUGAAAAUUACGCUAAUACCGCAUACGUUCUAUGGAAGACAGCGGGGGAUCGCAAGACCUCGCGCGAUUGGAGCGGCCGCUAUCAGAUUAGGUAGUUGGUGGGGUAAAGGCCCACCAAGCCAACGAUCUGUAGCUGGUCUGAGAGGACGACCAGCCACACUGGAACUGGGACACGGUCCAGACUCCGACGGGAGGCAGCAGUGGGGAAUUUUGGACAAUGGGCGAAAGCCUGAUCCAGCCAUUCCGCGUGAAGGAUGAAGGCCCUCGGGUUGUAAACUGCUUUUGUACAGAACGAAAAGGUUUCUACUAAUACUAGGAGCUCAUGACGGUACUGUAAGAAUGAGCACCGGCUAACUACGUGCCAGCCGCCGCCGUAA